rnacentral:rRNA from 1 species
GCUCGAGUGGCGAACGGGUGAGUAACACGUGAGUAACCUGCCCUUGACUUUGGGAUAACUUCAGGAAACUGGGGCUAAUACCGGAUAGGACCAUGCUUUAGUGUGUGUGGUGGAAAGUUUUUUCGGUGUAGGAUGAGCCCGCGGCCUAUCAGCUUGUUGGUGGGGUAAUGGCCUACCAAGGCGGCGAUGGGUAGCCGGACUGAGAGGUUGGUCGGCCACAUUGGGACUGAGAUACGGCCCAG